rnacentral:misc_RNA from 1 species
AACUUCCUGCUGCGCCCUCACCUCUUCGCAGCAUGCCACCGCCGUCUCACGCGCACCUCCCUUUUUCUUUCCUCCCUUUUCUCUUCGUUUUUGUACCCCGUUAGGGGCCUGUCUUGGUGUUUGUUUCUUUCUUGUGUGUGUGUGUGUGUAUGUGCGUGAGUGACCCCUCUGCCUGCGCGAAAGAGAUUUACGAGGAAAGGGAUGAGGACACACACACACGCACACGCACACGCACGAGGCAAGCGAAUGUGGGAAUGCCGUCUCUGCCACUUUGUCCGUGCGGGUAGCAGCAGGCAGUCCGCUCUGAGGAUUUGCUGCCAUGCGAACACUAAGGGAGGCAAUAUAUAUGUGUGUGUGUGGGGGGGUUCCACCUCCCUCUUCCUUUGCCUCGCCUGUUGAGAAUGGGUUCGUUUCGUGGCCCGAAAGAAAACGAUAAGGAUAUGGAGUGACCAGGAGGGUGUGUGGGAACACGAAAUGGAAGAAAAAAAUGAAUUCUUUUUUUUUGCCCUGUUUGCUAGUUUCACCUGCAGUCCGUCUCCCUUUCUUUUUCCUUCUCGCUUAGGGAUCUGGGGCACGGUCGAUCGCAAUGCUGAUUCCGUGUCCCGUGGGACUCUCGUUGUCUCCGUCUAGUUCGUACCCCAUUUUGUUUUUGUCUCUCUCCUCGGCCACAUCUCCAUACUCGCCGACAAGUCCACCCCUCAUCAUCUCACCAACGUACAAAACGCUAGUGUCUCGAACGGCGACAACAAACGAAGGGCUGCAUCUCUCACAUCAUCUUCUUACUUGUCUGCUCUUUGUUGUCCUUUCUUUCUCCACCCCUCUCCCUCUACGAUGUCGUUUCCCCCCUCCCCCCCCCUCUUUUUUGUUGUGUGUCUUGUGUGACUUCUGGGCAGUAAGCCAGCGCAUCUCUCUCUCUAUACUGUAGGUCCGGGUCGGUCGAGACCUCUCACUGAUUGCUUGCUUGUCCCCUAUCUUCGCACGCCACAACCCAUCCCCUGUGCAAGCUCGCUGCCGCUUUUUUUUUCCUGAUCUGCGUACGGCCGGGUGAACAGUCGAUCUGCAGUGCCACACACGCACACGAAAUUGGUGUGCCGUGUAACAACCCCCCCUCCCACACAUACUCUGUUGCUCGUUAUGUGGGUCGCUGCGAGUGCGUGUGCGGCGCUGCCUUGAUGUUGAGCACGUGAGAAAUGAUCAUAAACUGUCUGCGUCUUGGUUUACCUUUGACCAACGCCUCCUUCAGUUCCUAUUUUUUUUUCGCGGCACCCAGCGGCUGCCGCGGGCGUCCUCGUUCUCGUUGCGGCUCUCAGAAGAGCGUUUUGCGCAUAGGGUUACGCCCUGCAGAAAGAUUACCGUGUGCGGGCCCUCAUGUAUGCGAAAAGAUAGCCCAUUAGCAAGGCGAAGGACAACACAAGAUACGAAACAGAUACUUUUUGGCGCCAGAAGAGGUGGCAUCCCUUUCUGUGGCAAAGUUCGGGAUGCCAUCUCUCCCUUGCGCGUACUAGCGGAAGGAAGUGUGCGGUAAGCUCGCAUGCGGCGCACGGCCGCCGGCACUUGAUCAAGGCAAACAUCCACUACUGCCACCCCGCAGCGCGUGCCUUCCUUUCCGUUAGCUUUUCUUUGACCUUUCUCGUUUUCUUUGCUUUCCUUUUCGCUGCGUUUACCUGUGUGUCCUACUCAUGUAUAUGCGCUUUCCUUUGGCUUUUUCGCACGGUGGCAGGCUGUGUCCUUUCG